UAGUCCACGCCGUAAACGAUGUGUGCUAGUUGUCGGGAGCUUAAGCUUUCGGUGACGCAGCUAACGCAUUAAGCACACCGCCUGGGGAGUACGGUCGCAAGAUUAAAACUCAAAGGAAUUGACGGGGACCCGCACAAGCGGUGGAGCAUGUUGUUUAAUUCGAAGCUACGCGAAGAACCUUACCCAGACUUGACAUGGAUGGAUUAGCUCCGGGAAACCGGAGUGACGCCCUUCGGGGUGGAACUUCCACAGGUGUUGCAUGGCUGUCGUCAGCUCGUGUCGUGAGAUGUCGGGUUAAGUCCCUGAACGAGCGAAACCCCUGUUGUUAGUUGCCAGCAUGUAAUGGUGGGGACUCUAACAAGACUGCCGUGGUUAACACGGAGGAAGGUGGGGACGACGUCAAGUCAUCAUGGCCCUUAUGUCUGGGGCUACACACGUGCUACAAUGGGCAGUACAGAGGGCGCCAAUGCUGCGAAGCGGAGGAAAUCCCUAAAGCUGUCCCUAGUCCGGA
rnacentral:rRNA from 1 species